rnacentral:rRNA from 1 species
CACGGAGGGUGCAAGCGUUACUCGGAAUCACUGGGCGUAAAGAGCGUGUAGGCGGGUAUAUAAGUCAGAAGUGAAAUCCAAUAGCUUAACUAUUGAACUGCUUUUGAAACUGUAUACCUAGAAUGUGGGAGAGGUAGAUGGAAUUUCUGGUGUAGGGGUAAAAUCCGCAGAGAUCAGAAGGAAUACCGAUUGCGAAGGCGAUCUACUGGAACAUUAUUGACGCUGAGACGCGAAAGCGUGGGGAGCAAACAGGAUUAGAUACCCUGGUAGUCCACGCCCUAAACGAUGUACACUAGUUGUUGUGAGGCUCGACCUUGCAGUAAUGCAGUUAACACAUUAAGUGUACCGCCUGGGGAGUACGGUCGCAAGAUUAAA